rnacentral:rRNA from 1 species
UACGGAGGGUGCAAGCGUUAUCCGGAUUUACUGGGUUUAAAGGGUGCGUAGGCGGGUUGGUAAGUCAGUGGUGAAACCUCCGAGCUUAACUCGGAAACUGCCAUUGAUACUAUCAGUCUUGAAUUCAGUUGAGGUGGGCGGAAUGUGUCGUGUAGCGGUGAAAUGCUUAGAUAUGACACAGAACACCAAUUGCGAAGGCAGCUCGCUAAACUGACAUUGACGCUGAGGCACGAAAGCGUGGGGAGCAAACAGG